rnacentral:sRNA from 1 species
UUCUUAAUGGCUCAUGAUAUGAUCCAUCCAACAAAAGUUAUUAUUUUACCCAAAAUCUCCUCAAAGUUAACAUUAUUAUACGAAAUAGAUAUAUUUUCUCUAACCGAAUUGUCGGUAUUUACUGUGUAUUUAGAGAAAUUGCAAAGCGACAAUGAAGAAUUCACAAACUUCUCUUUAUCUAUAAUUUUUUAUAAUGCUAAUAUAAAAGCGUAUAAUUUGGCGCGGAAGAUCCGCACCGAACCGCAUCAUAUCACAUUUGUAAAUAAUAUCCCUCAGGAUUGGUUUACUUGAGCUUUAAUAAUUUUGGAUGACAAAA